CUAAUCAGACAUCUUUGCCCCUCCGAAAUUUUUCAUCUUGCACAACUGAAACUCUAUAUCCAAUUAAUGACAAUUCUCCAUUUACCCACUUUAUUUACCCGUUUAUUUUUCUUUGAAUAAAGAUAGGUCUAUCCAAUUUGCUAUGUGAGAAGAUUCUCAGCAAGUCCCUUUCCUAUGACAUAAACAGCAUUUGACACUACUUUUAAAAAGGUUUAUAACACUAUAAGAUGACUAUAAUUAAUAAUCUCCUAUAUUUUCAAAAAGCUAGAAGAAAAGUGAAGUUUCUUGGCAUGAGAUAAUUUUAUGAUUGGUAAAGUAGAACCUCCAAACAAUUAAGACUUUUUCAUAAAUAGCUGGAACAUCUUAGAAAUGGAUAAGAACUGUUUUACAGCUUUAAGGUACAAAUACCCUGUUUAUUAUACUUACUAGAGAUCAUAGUGGGAUGCUUUUCAUGCCUUGCCAGGGGCCAACCUGGCAUAGAACCUUUAUGACACUUAAAUACAAUAUAAAAUUAAGUUGAAUAUCUUGAAAUUUAAGCUCAAGACUAAAGCUGAAGAUAGAACUGAAUCAUCUCUUCUAAGGAGAGUUGCAGUACUUAUCAAAAGGUGCUCAUACUAAUUUUUCAAUCAUCAACUCUUAUCACGAAACACUACUGGAAAAAAAAAAGAGAAGAAAAUAAAUAAAAGAAAGAAAAAAUAUUUUAAAAUUCACUGAGCAGAUAUUCCUUUCUUUGUUUACAAAGAAGCAGAAAUUUUGCCCUCACCUCACUUUAAGUAAAAUGAAGGGUUAAAAGACCAUUUAAUCACAUCUAAGAUUAAUACAAAUAGUUACUCUGAAGGCACUGACCACUGCAAUGCAACUAAAAAAUAUAACAAUUUAAAUAUAUUACUAUGCUUUAAGAAACAAAUUUUAAUGGUGAAUACAUUUUUUAAAAUACCAAGAAGAGUAUGAGCUUAAAUCAGAGUUAUAGGGUGGUUAUUAGAAAGCCAAAGUGAAAGUCUGUGCUUCUAUAUGAAUUCUAGUCCUAGAAAAUUAGCCUUGGAACCUCAGAAACACAAGUGAGUGAAACCUUACACUGGGAAAGUGUCUUCAAAUGCUAUUCUAAUACCAUGAUUUUUAUAAUAAAAGCCUUUCUCCAUGUUGUUGUUUUAAAACUCUAUAGCUAUUAUUUAUUUUUCACAACCAUCACUUUUUAUCUCAAUAGUACUAUGAUUAUAGUGCUUUAAUGAAGACUUUUUAUACUUCAGCAUAGCAUAAUUGCUAUUUCUCAAGUCAUAUUCUUCUUAAAAAGAUAGUGAUUUCUUUUAAAAUAAAGGCUUUCUCUGAUCAAAUUAAUUAUUACAUAUCAGGGGAAUAUUAUCCUUUCUUUUAUCUCAAAUACAUUAAGCCAAAUGAAUAAUGCAUCAUGAAUUUUUGCUUAUGUAUAUUAAGAUUUUAGACCAUGAGAAUUACAAUCUUCAUAUAAUAAUAAAAAGCUGGUAUGAACAUGUGUGUACACAUCUUUGUAUGGAUGUAUAUUUCGUUUUUUCUUGGGUAAUUCACUUCUUACUGAUUUGUUUGAGUUCAUUUUAGUUUCUGGAUAUUAAUCCUUUGUCAGAUGUAUAGAUUGUGAAAAUAUUCUCCCACUCUGUGGGUUGCCUGUUUACUCUGAUGACUGUUCCUUUUGCCAUGCAAAAGCUCUUUAGUUUAAUUAGGUCCCAGAUAUUUAUCUUUGUUUUUAUUGCAUUUGCUUUUGGGUUCUUGGUCAUCUAAUCAGCCUAUGUUUGCCAUCACCAGUGUAGAAUAUAUUAAUUUCUCAUCUUUGAGGAAGAAUAAGAAUAUAUAUAUUAUUUUCUUAUUUUGACAAUCAGAGAAUAUAGAUUCAACAAUGUUUUGAAAACAAAGAAAACUCUUGAUAAGUUCAAAAAUCCCUGUGAAAAUAUAAAAAAGCAGAGUCAAGGAGGCAGUACAACUGUAUGCUUUGCUGUCUGUGUGUGAACUGCAUAACCAAUGUGUUGUGACCAGUUACUGGCUGACCCAGUAUAGUCUGAGCAUUCCACUCUAAGCAGAAGAAUUUUAUCAUUGACAUUGCACAGAAUUUCCAACAGGUGGUGAUAAUAAAAAGCAGAUUAACUAAGUUGCUUUGAAUAUUUAACACAAUAUAUUCAUUUUUUGCUAGUACUAAGUGUGGGUCACUCCCACUGCCCUCUACCUUGGCAUGCUACUGAAACAUGGUAACCCAAAAUGUCACAACAGUUGAAGCCAAGGCUGGAGACCAUUCAUGUCAGGGUUAUUAUUUUUCUGUGCAUCAAUUUCUACAUCUAUAUAAAGAAGAAAUUAAUACUUUCUCAUCUUAUGAGCUUACUGGUGGGGAUAAAAUACAAUUAUAUAUAUAUAAACAUUUGCUAGAAAUGUGUGGUGAGAAGGCCUAGAUUCAAGACCCAAUCUGCAGCUUAUUUACAGGGCAACUUUGGAGAAUGCAGUCAGCUUUAUGAGUUCCAACUUUCAGUUUUGAAAAAAUAAAUGUAGAAUUAGUAUCUAACUCACAAGAUCACUUUUACACCAAAUGAGUGCUUUGUUAAAAGCAAAACACCAAAGAAAAGUUCAUUGCUCUUAUGGUGUAAUUGUUAUAAUAAGACAUCUUCCAUUCACUCUUACUGUGCAAUACUUUCUUUUCAAUACUCUACUCAUUGAAAUAAUUUUAUUAAAAUUAAUUGGGUAGAAUAAUUUCCAAUUCAGGUCUUUUAUCAAACCAUUCUAAACAGCAAACUAGAGUUUGUCUAUAUUUUCCCUCUAAAUGUAGCAUUGCUCUCAAUGUCUUCUAAACAAAUGCAGUGUCAAGUGUGUCUCUUUAUCCAAUCUUUAUAAUCCAUAUUAAAUUCUUUUUGGAAAUAGGAUAAAACUUGAUGUAUGGUACACAGAUGAGAGAUAGAUAAAUGACAGAUAGAUAAUAAACAAAUAAAUUUCUAAUGAUGGAUAGAUUAGAUGAAAGUACACUAGCACUAAAUUUUUUAUUAUAACUACCUCCUGUACAUAUUUGUUGUAUCAUUGUUGGCUUCAUAACUGAAGAAUGAUGAUGGCAAAUCACAGUAAAUUAUGACAUUUUUAAUAGAAGGGACCUGUUUUUGGUCAUCUUAACAUAUUUUAUCACCCAGGCAAAAGAUUAUCUACUACAUGUAUAGCAUUGUAAUAAGGAUUGGCUACAUAAAGACAAGUAAUAUAUGAAAAUUGUGCUGACAAAUGAGCUGGAGAUCUAGCUCUACAAUAUACAGCUCAAUGGAUAAUAUCUGCUUAGGUAUACAAUGAAAGUAAAAGAGAAAGGAGAGUUUUCCUUUCAAUGACUUUCUUCCUUUUGUCUAUACAAAUAUUAUUUUUAUAACUUUAUAUUCUAUUAUUUUAAAAAUGUCCAAAAUUGUUUAGGUUUCAGUUAUC
rnacentral:lncRNA from 10 species